UAAUGCUCUGAUUGAAUUGUCAUGUAUUAUACUUUUAGUUUGUGUAAACGCGGUGAAUCAAGUCACUUGUCAAUACAGGCAUAGUGAAUGAAUGAUUGGAUGUUUCAUCUGCUGAUUUGGUGGGGAAGAAUGACUUGCUCAUCGUUGGCCCCGGUGUUCUUGGAUGCCUUAUUGCAGAACAAUGGCAGAAGGAACACCUAGGAUGCCAAAUUUUUGGAGAGAUAAAGACGAAAGAUCACCAUGACGAAUUGAUUAAAAUUGGGAUCAAUCCAAUCUUGAGGGAGGUGAAACCAACUCACCAGUUUCCUUAUGUUGUUUUCUGUGCUCCCCCAUC